AUGCUAAAACCUCGACUUCGGAAGGGGUGUAUUUAUUAGAUAAAAAACCAAUGCCCUUCGGGGCUCCUUGGUGAUUCAUAAUAACUUAACGAAUCGCAUGGCCUUGCGCCGGCGAUGGUUCAUUCAAAUUUCUGCCCUAUCAACUUUCGAUGGUAAGGUAGUGGCUUACCAUGGUCUCAACGGGUAACGGGGAAUUAGGGUUCUAUUCCGGAGAGGGAGCCUGAGAAACGGCUACCACAUCCAAGGAAGGCAGCAGGCGCGCAAAUUACCCAAUACUGAUUCAGUGAGGUAGUGACAAUAAAUACUGAUACGGGGCUCUUUCGGGUCUCGUAAUUGGAAUGAGUACAAUCUAAAUCCCUUAACGAGGAACAAUUGGAGGGCAAGUCUGGUGCCAGCAGCCGCGGUAAUUCCAGCUCCAAUAGCGUAUAUUAAAGUUGUUGCCGUUAAAAAGCUCGUAGUUGAACCUUGGACCUGGCUGAUCUGUCCUCCUAAUCGAGCGUACGGAUUCGGUCGGGUCUUUUCUUCUGGGGAGCCUUAUGCCCUUUACUGGGUGUAAUGGGGAACCAGGACUUUUACCUUGAAAAAAUUAGAGUGUUCAAAGCAGGCCUUUGCUCGAAUACAUUAGCAUGGAAUAAUAGAAUAGGACAUCGGUUCUAUUUUGUUGGUUUCUAGGACCGCUGUAAUGAUUAAUAGGGAUAGUCGGGGGCGUCCGUAUUCAAUUGUCAGAGGUGAAAUUCUUGGAUUUAUUGAAGACGAACUACUGCGAAAGCAUUCGCCAAGGAUGUUUUCAUUAAUCAGUGAACGAAAGUUAGGGGAUCGAAGACGAUCAGAUACCGUCGUAGUCUUAACCAUAAACUAUGCCGACUAGGGAUCGGACGGUGGUUUUUUUAUGCCCCGUUCGGCACCUUACGAGAAAUCAAAGUGUUUGGGCUCGGGGGGGAGUAUGGUCGCAAGGCUGAAACUUAAAGAAAUUGACGGAAGGGCACCACAAGGCGUGGAGCCUGCGGCUUAAUUUGACUCAACACGGGGAAACUCACCAGGUCCAGACAUGCUUAGGAUUGACAGAUUGAUAGCUCUUUCUUGAUUGUAUGGGUGGUGGUGCAUGGCCGUUCUUAGUUGGUGGAGUGAUUUGUCUGCUUAAUUGCGAUAACGAACGAGACCUUGACCUGCUAAAUAGCCCGAUUGACUUUUGUCGGUCGCUGGCUUCUUAGAGGGACUUUUGGCUCAAGCCAAUGGAAGUACGAGGCAAUAACAGGUCUGUGAUGCCCUUAGAUGUUCUGGGCUGCACGCGCGCUACACUGACAGAGCCAGCGAGUACAUCACCUUGGCCGAAAGGUCUGGGUAAUCUUGUUAAACUCUGUCGUGCUGGGGAUAGAGCAUUGCAAUUAUUGCUCUUCAACGAGGAAUGCCUAGUAAGCGCAAGUCAUCAGCUUGCGUUGAUUACGUCCCUGCCCUUUGUACACACCGCCCGUCGCUACUACCGAUUGAAUGGCUCAGUGAGGCCUUGGGACUGGCUCAGAAAGGUCGGCAACGACCAUUCAGAGCCGGAAACUUGGUCAAACUUGGUCAUUUAGAGGAAGUAAAAGUC
rnacentral:rRNA from 1 species